CCUACGGGAGGCAGCAGUGGGGAAUAUUGCGCAAUGGGCGAAAGCCUGACGCAGCGACGCCGCGUGAGGGAUGAAGGUCUUCGGAUCGUAAACCUCUGUCAGCAGGGAAGAACGGUCACUGUGCUAAUCAGCAGUGAAUUGACGGUACCUGCAAAGGAAGCACCGGCUAACUCCGUGUCAGCAGCCGCGGUAAUACGGAGGGUGCAAGCGUUAAUCGGAAUUACUGGGCGUAAAGCGCUCGUAGGCGGUAUGUUAAGUCAAGGGUGAAAUCCCCGGGCUCAACGUGGGAAGUUCCUUUGAAACUGGCAAACUUGAGUGUGUGAGAGGAGAGUGGAAUUCCAGGUGUAGGAGUGAAAUCCGUAGAUAUCUGGAGGAACAUCAGUGGCGAAGGCGACUAUCUGGCACAUAACUGACGCUGAGGAGCGAAAGCGUGGGUAGCAAACAGGAUUAGAUACUCCUGUAGUC
rnacentral:rRNA from 1 species